rnacentral:rRNA from 1 species
GACGAACGCUGGCGGCGUGCCUAAUACAUGCAAGUUGAGCGCUGAAGGUUGGUACUUGUACCAACUGGAUGAGCAGCGAACGGGUGAGUAACGCGUGGGGAAUCUGCCUUUGAGCGGGGGACAACAUUUGGAAACGAAUGCUAAUACCGCAUAAAAACUUUAAACACAAGUUUUAAGUUUGAAAGAUGCAAUUGCAUCACUCAAAGAUGAUCCCGCGUUGUAUUAGCUAGUUGGUGAGGUAAAGGCUCACCAAGGCGAUGAUACAUAGCCGACCUGAGAGGGUGAUCGGCCACAUUGGAACUGAGACACGGCCCAAACUCCUACGGGAGGCAGCAGUAGGGAAUCUUCGGCAAUAGACGAAAGUCUGACCGAGCAACGCCGCGUGAGUGAAGAAGGUUUUCGCAUCGUAAAACUCUGUUGGUAGAGAAGAACGUUGGUGAGAGUGGAAAGCUCAUCAAGUGACGGUAACUACCCAGAAAGGGACGGCUAACUACGUG